CGCGCACGGUCCACCUGGCGCUCGGGGCCGCGAGCGAGCGCAGCCAGGCCGCCCGGGAACUUUUUUCCUCGCGCUCUCGCUCUCCCGCUCCCCCCGCGCGUCGCCCGCCCGCCCGCCCGCCCGCCCGCUCUUCCUGUGAGGAGGAGAUCGCGUUUCCCCGCGGCACCCGCGGACACCAGGCAGCCCGGGCGGGUGCGCGGCCAGGACCCGCUCCCCGCGCCGCCUGCUCCCCGCGUUCCCGGGCGCCGCCCCCGCCCGCGUCUAGGCUCCGAGAGGCGACUUGGAGAGCAAGGCGGCGAGGGCGACUGGCGAGCCGAGCAGGCCGCCCAGCCCGCGGCUCAAGCGUCGGCGCGAGGAGGGGGCACCGCGGCCCACCUCCUUCCUGCCUGGCCGCGGGCCGGUCGGGCCGCCGCGCCUGACCCCCAUGGCCGCCGAGGCCUCCGGGCCGCUACGUCGCAGCGCCAGACGCAGGGUCCCCGAGUGAGCGCGGGCGCCGAGGAUCUCAUCUGGCCGCCGCGUUCUGAAAGAGGCCAGGGAUAGAGCGCGCGCGCGAGGAGAACAGAGACGGCGGGGAAAAGGGAGAAGGCGAGACGCGCAGCGCCGGCGCCCGGGAGACCCAGGAGGACCCCGCAGAGAAGAGCUUGAAUCACAAGAGAACAGCCAGUGAAUUUCUACAAACUGAACACACUCACGUAACUGAUGUUCAAAUUGAGAAAAAGAAUACUACCAGCACCCAGAAGUCCCUUGUGCCCCUCAAACAUUUGCUGCCCAAGACGAUAUGUCUGCUUUUGAAGAUCAUGCAUAUGCAACCUCAUAGGUCUGGCUUGUUUUACUCAAUGUACUGUUUUUGAGAUUAUCCAUAUUGUGUGUAGAAGUGGUUGAUUUUUUUUUAUUAUUGUGUAGCAUUCUGUUGUAUGUGCUACAGUUUGGAUCAUAAAUGUCCCCCAAAGACCUGUGUGUUGAAGCUUUGGUCCCCAGCUUGGCACUGUUGG
rnacentral:lncRNA from 1 species